rnacentral:tRNA from 1 species
GGGGAGGUAGCUCAGUGGUAGAGUGCCUGCCUAGCAUGUUGAGGGCCUGGGUUCAAUCCCUACCCCACCCC